rnacentral:lncRNA from 1 species
UAUGAUAGAGGGAUUAAAAGAAGUGGCAAAGGAAACAAAGUGUGGAAAUGGAUUUUCAGGCAAAGUUCUGGGAGGAAAAGUACAAGUAACAGAGAAGAUGAAAAUGAUAUUAUAAAGUCUUGAGUUGUGGAAUGAGAAAGUUUGUAUUAUUCUCUUUGGUUUUUUGUUUAUAUGAUAUUCCUAGCUGCUUUAGAGACUUACUUUGAACAGUAAAUAUAAAGUUUCAUAAGUUCUGCUUUGAAUUACUUUAGUUUCUUCUUAUAUUCUGUACCAUUUUCCCAACACACUGUGGCGGUGGAUUAAAAAACAACAGAAGCAAAAUAAAUGGAUCUGGCAAGAUAUAUUUCUUUUUGGUUAGUAUUUUUCCCUCUCUUUUCUGAUUAUACAUUUAUGCCUAUACAUGUGUCUGAAAAAUUUCAGUGCGUCUGUUUCUGUGAAGUACAAGUAACAGAGAUGAUGAAAAUGAUAUUAUAAAGUCUUGAGUUAUUGAAUAAAAAAGAUUUGUAUUGUUCUCUUUGUUUUUUUGUUGAUAUGAUAUGAUAUUUCUGGCUGCUUUAGAGUCAUUUUGAACAGUAAAUAUAAAAUUUAUGUUUCUACUUUGAAUUACUUUACUUUCUUCUUAUCUUCUGUACCAUUUGGUCAGUACAC